rnacentral:rRNA from 1 species
CCUAACACAUGCAAGUCGAACGGCAGCACAGGAGAGCUUGCUCUCUGGGUGGCGAGUGGCGGACGGGUGAGGAAUACAUCGGAAUCUACCUUUUCGUGGGGGAUAACGUAGGGAAACUUACGCUAAUACCGCAUACGACCUACGGGUGAAAGUGGGGGACCGCAAGGCCUCACGCGAUUAGAUGAGCCGAUGUCCGAUUAGCUAGUUGGCGGGGUAAUGGCCCACCAAGGCGACGAUCGGUAGCUGGUCUGAGAGGAUGAUCAGCCACACUGGAACUGAGACACGGUCCAGACUCCUACGGGAGGCAGCAGUGGGGAAUAUUGGACAAUGGGCGCAAGCCUGAUCCAGCCAUACCGCGUGGGUGAAGAAGGCCUUCGGGUUGUAAAGCCCUUUUGUUGGGAAAGAAAUCCUAUCGGUUAAUAACCGGUGGGGAUGACGGUACCC